rnacentral:rRNA from 1 species
UACGUAGGGUCCGAGCGUUGUCCGGAAUUAUUGGGCGUAAAGAGCUCGUAGGCGGUGUGUCGCGUCGGCCGUGAAAACCUGCAGCUUAACUGUGGGCGUGCGGUCGAUACGGGCAUCACUGGAGUUCGGUAGGGGAGACUGGAAUUCCUGGUGUAGCGGUGAAAUGCGCAGAUAUCAGGAGGAACACCGGUGGCGAAGGCGGGUCUCUGGGCCGAUACUGACGCUGAGGCGCGAAAGCGUGGGGAGCAAACAGG